rnacentral:rRNA from 1 species
AGCACCGGCUAACUCCGUGCCAGCAGCCGCGGUAAUACGGAGGGUGCAAGCGUUAUCCGGAUUUAUUGGGUUUAAAGGGUCCGUAGGCGGGCUAAUAAGUCAGUGGUGAAAUCCUGCAGCUUAACUGUAGCACUGCCAUUGAUACUGUUAGUCUUGAGUAUAUUUGAAGUAGCUGGAAUAAGUAGUGUAGCGGUGAAAUGCAUAGAUAUUACUUAGAACACCAAUUGCGAAGGCAGGUUACUAAGAUAAGACUGACGCUGAGGGACGAAAGCGUGGGGAGCGAACAGGAUUAGAUACCCUGGUAGUCCACGCUGUAAACGAUGCUGACUCGUUUUUGGUUUUUAGGGAUCAGAGACUAAGCGAAAGUGAUAAGUCAGCCACCUGGGGAGUACGACCGCAAGGUUGAAACUCAAAGGAAUUGACGGGGGCCCGCACAAGCGGUGGAUUAUGUGGUUUAAUUCGAUGAUACGCGAGGAACCUUACCAAGACUUAAAUGGGAAUUGCCAGCUGUAGAAAUACGGUUUUCUUCGGACAAUUUUCAAGGUGCUGCAUGGUUGUCGUCAGCUCGUGCCGUGAGGUGUUAGGUUAAGUCCUGCAACGAGCGCAACCCCUGUCACUAGUUGCCAUCAUUAAGUUGGGGACUCUAGUGAGACUGCCUACGCAAGUAGAGAGGAAGGUGGGGAUGACGUCAAAUCAUCACGGCCCUUACGUCUUGGGCCACACACGUAAUACAAUGGCCGGUACAGAGGGCAGCUACACAGUGAUGUGAUGCGAAUCUCGAAAGCCGGUCUCAGUUCGGAUUGGAGUCUGCAACUCGACUCUAUGAAGCUGGAAUCGCUAGUAAUCGCGCAUCAGCCAUGGCGCGGUGAAUACGUUCCCGGGCCUUGUACACACCGCCCGUCAAGCCAUGGAAGUUCGGGGUACCUGAAGUCGGUGACCGUCAAAGGAGCUGCCUAGGGUAAAACGAGUAACUAGGGCUAAGUCGUAACAAGGUAGCCGUACCGGAAGGUGCGGCUG